rnacentral:tRNA from 1 species
GGUAAAGUAGCUCAGUGGUAGAGUGCUUGCCUUGCAUGCAUGAGGCCCUGGGUUCGAUUCCUUAGCACCA